rnacentral:rRNA from 1 species
AUUGAACGCUGGCGGCAUGCCUUACACAUGCAAGUCGAGCGGCAGCGCGGGGGCAACCCUGGCGGCGAGCGGCGAACGGGUGAGUAAUACAUCGGAACGUGUCCAGUAGCGGGGGAUAACCUGUCGAAAGAUAGGCUAAUACCGCGUACGACCUACGGGUGAAAGCGGGGACCGCAAGGCCUCGCACUAUUGGAGCGGCCGAUGUCGGAUUAGCUAGUUGGCGGGGUAACGGCCCACCAAGGCGACGAUCCGUAGCUGGUCUGAGAGGACGACCAGCCACACUGGAACUGAGACACGGUCCAGACUCCUACGGGAGGCAGCAGUGGGGAAUUUUGGACAAUGGGCGCAAGCCUGAUCCAGCCAUGCCGCGUGAGUGAAAGAAGG